CACCACUCAAGCCUCGCUUGGUCUUGGGCGCCGCGGUUCCGCCGCGCGCCCCAAUGUCUCCGGCUGAGCCGUCCGUCUCUAAGCGUUGUGAUAAACUGUUCGCUUGCGAGGCCGGGCCGGCUUGUUCGCCGUUAAACCCCCCAUUUUUUCAGG
rnacentral:misc_RNA from 1 species